AGCUCCAAUAGCGUCUAUUAAUGUUGUUUUUUUUCCCCAGCUCUUCUUUUUCUCUCUUCAUAUUUAGGGCUUUUUGCUUGCUAGUAUUACUGCCCUAUAAUCUGUAGUUUUGCCAGAGGUUUUAGGGUGCUCUUAAUCGAGUGUCCUGGGAUGCUGGCAGGUUUACUUUGAAAAAAUUAGAGUGCUCAAAGCAGGCUGUUACGCCUGAAUAUUCGUGCAUGGAAUAAUAGAAUAGGAAGUCGUUUCUAUUUUGUUGGUUUUCGGAAAUCGACUUAAUGAUUAAUAGGGACAGUCGGGGGCAUUUGUAUUCAAACGACAGAGGUGAAAUUCUUGGACCGUUUGAAGACAAACUACUGCGAAAGCAUUUGCCAAGAAUGUUUUCA
rnacentral:rRNA from 1 species